rnacentral:rRNA from 1 species
CCUACGGGAGGCUGCAGUGGGGAAUAUUGCACAAUGGGGGAAACCCUGAUGCAGCGACGCCGCGUGAGUGAAGAAGUAAUUCGUUAUGUAAAGCUCUAUCAGCAGGGAAGAAAAUGACGGUACCUGAGUAAGAAGCCCCGGCUAACUACGUGCCAGCAGCCGCGGUAAUACGUAGGGGGCAAGCGUUAUCCGGAUUUACUGGGUGUAAAGGGAGCGUAGACGGCAGUGCAAGUCUGGAGUGAAAGGCGGGGGGUCAACCCCCGGACUGCUCUGGAAACUGUACGGCUGGAGUGCAGGAGAGGUAAGUGGAAUUCCUGGUGUAGCGGUGAAAUGCGUAGAUAUUAGGAGGAACACCAGUGGCGAAGGCGGCUUACUGGACUGUAACUGACGUUGAGGCUCGAAAGCGUGGGGAGCAAACAGGAUGAGAUACCCUUGUAGUC